rnacentral:rRNA from 1 species
UACGUAGGUGGCAAGCGUUAUCCGGAUUUAUUGGGCGUAAAGCGAGCGCAGGCGGUUGCUUAGGUCUGAUGUGAAAGCCUUCGGCUUAACCGAAGAAGUGCAUCGGAAACCGGGCGACUUGAGUACUGGAGAGGCAGACGGAAUUCCUAGUGUAGCGGUGAAAUGCGUAGAUAUAAGGAAGAACACCAGUGGCGAAGGCGGAUGACUGGACGGCAACUGACGGUGAGGCGCGAAAGCGUGGGGAGCAAACAGG